AUUGAACGCUGGCGGCAGGCCUAACCCAUGCAAGUCGAACGAGUGGCGGACGGGUGAGUAAUGUCUGGGAAACUGCCUGAUGGAGGGGGAUAACUACUGGAAACGGUAGCUAAUACCGCAUACCAUCGGAUGUGCCCAGAUGGGAUUAGCUAGUAGGUGGGGUAACGGCGCACCUAGGCGAUGAUCCCUAGCUGGUCUGAGAGGAUAACCAGGCACACUGGAACAGAGCCACGGUCCAGACUCCUACAGGAGGAAGCAGUGGGGAAUAGUGAACAAUAGGGGCAAACCUGAUGCAGCGAUGCCGAGUGUAUGAAGAAGGCCUUAGGGUUAUAAAGUACUUUCAGCGGGGAGGCGUUACCCGCAGAAGAAGCACCGGCAAACUCCGUGCCAGCAGCCGCGGUAAUAC
rnacentral:rRNA from 1 species